GAUGAACGCUGGCGGCGUGCCUAAUACAUGCAAGUCGAGCGAAUGGAUUAAGAGCUUGCUCUUAUGAAGUUAGCGGCGGACGGGUGAGUAACACGUGGGUAACCUGCCCAUAAGACUGGGAUAACUCCGGGAAACCGGGGCUAAUACCGGAUAACAUUUUGAACCGCAUGGUUCGAAAUUGAAAGGCGGCUUCGGCUGUCCCUUAUGGAUGGACCCGCGUCGCAUUAGCUAGUUGGUGAGGUAACGGCUCACCAAGGCAAUGAUGCGUAGCCGACCUGAGAGGGUGAUCGGCCACACUGGGACUGAGACACGGCCCAGACUCCUACGGGAGGCAGCAGUAGGGAAUCUUCCGCAAUGGACGAAAGUCUGACGGAGCAACGCCGCGUGAGUGAUGAAGGCUUUCGGGUCGUAAAACUCUGUUGUUAGGGAAGAACAAGUGCUAGUUGAAUAAGCUGGCACCUUGACGGUACCUAACCAGAAAGCCACGGCUAACUACGUGCCAGCAGCCGCCGUAA
rnacentral:rRNA from 1 species